rnacentral:rRNA from 1 species
UACGGGGGGGGCAAGCGUUGUUCGGAAUUACUGGGCGUAAAGGGUGCGUAGGCGGGAAUGAAAGUCAGCUGUGAAAUCCCGAGGCUCAACCUCGGAACUGCAUUUGAAACUCCAUUUCUGGAGGGUAGUCGGAGAAAACGGAAUUCCACAAGUAGCGGUGAAAUGCGUAGAUAUGUGGAAGAACACCUGUGGCGAAAGCGGUUUCUAGAUUAUUCCUGACGCUAAGGCACGAAAGCAAGGGGAGCAAACAGG